UUCAUCCGAUGAUAACCACAUGGGCCUUAACAUCCACAGUGUCCUUUCCUGCGAGACUGUUUCCCUUGACGACUUAGGCAUCGAAAUCGCUCCUUGGAUGUGGAAGGAA
rnacentral:sRNA from 1 species